rnacentral:rRNA from 1 species
UACGAAGGGAGCUAGCGUUGUUCGGAAUCACUGGGCGUAAAGGGUGCGUAGGCGGGUCUUUAAGUCAGGGGUGAAAUCCUGGAGCUCAACUCCAGAACUGCCUUUGAUACUGAAGAUCUUGAGUUCGGGAGAGGUGAGUGGAACUGCGAGUGUAGAGGUGAAAUUCGUAGAUAUUCGCAAGAACACCAGUGGCGAAGGCGGCUCACUGGCCCGAUACUGACGCUGAGGCACGAAAGCGUGGGGGGCAAACAGGAGUUAG